UGGGGAAUUUUGGACAAUGGGCGAAAGCCUGAUCCAGCAAUGCCGCGUGUGUGAAGAAGGCCUUCGGGUUGUAAAGCACUUUUGUCCGGAAAGAAAUCCUUGGCUCUAAUACAGUCGGGGGAUGACGGUACCGGAAGAAUAAGCACCGGCUAACUACGUGCCAGCAGCCGCGGUAAUACGUAGGGUGCAAGCGUUAAUCGGAAUUACUGGGCGUAAAGCGUGCGCAGGCGGUUUGCUAAGACCGAUGUGAAAUCCCCGGGCUCAACCUGGGAACUGCAUUGGUGACUGGCAGGCUAGAGUGUGGCAGAGGGGGGUAGAAUUCCACGUGUAGCAGUGAAAUGCGUAGAGAUGUGGAGGAAUACCGAUGGCGAAGGCAGCCCCCUGGGCCAAUACUGACGCUCAUGCACGAAAGCGUGGGGAGCAAACAGGAUUAGAUACCCUGGUAGUCCACGCCCUAAACGAUGUCAACUAGUUGUUGGGGAUUCAUUUCCUAGUAACGUAGCUAACGCGUGAAGUUGACCGCCUGGGGAGUACGGUCGCAAGAUUAAAACUCAAAUGAAUUGACGGGGUCAUAGCUGUUUCCU
rnacentral:rRNA from 1 species